rnacentral:rRNA from 1 species
UCCUACGGGGGGCAGCAGUAGGGAAUUUUCGUCAAUGGGCGCAAGCCUGAACGAGCGAUGCCGCGUGAGUGAAGAAGGCCUUCGGGUCGUAAAGCUCUGUUGCGGGGGAAAAAAGGCAGCAUCAGGAAAUGGGUGCUGACUGAUGGUGCCCCGCCAGAAAGUCACGGCUAACUAUGUGCCAGCAGCCGCGGUAAUACAUAGGGAGCGAGCGUUAUCCGGAUUUAUUGGGUGUAAAGGGUGCGUAGACGGGAAUACAAGUUGGUUGUGAAAGCCCUCGGCUUAACUGAGGAACUGCAACCAAAACU